GACGAACGCCGGCGGCGUGCUUAACACAUGCAAGUCGAACGGAAAGGCCCUGCUUUUGUGGGGUGCUCGAGUGGCGAACGGGUGAGUAACACGUGAGUAACCUGCCCUUGACUUUGGGAUAACUUCAGGAAACUGGGGCUAAUACCGGAUAGGAGCUCCUGCUGCAUGGUGGGGGUUGGAAAGUUUCGGCGGUUGGGGAUGGACUCGCGGCUUAUCAGCUUGUUGGUGGAGUAGUGGCUUACCAAGGCUUUGACGGGUAGCCGGCCUGAGAGGGUGACCGGCCACAUUGGGACUGAGAUACGGCCCAGACUCCUACGGGAGGCAGCAGUGGGGAGUAUUGCACAAUGGGCGGAAGCCUGAUGCAGCAACGCCGCGUGCGGAAUGACGGCCUUCGGGUUGUAAACCGCUUUCGCCUGUGACGAAGCGUGAGUGACGGUAAUGGGUAAAGAAGCACCGGCUAACUACGUG
rnacentral:rRNA from 1 species